CUGGACUCUGUUCUGAGCAGGGAUCACCUCCUGUGUGUCGAUGGCACGCAGAUUGGAUUUGGGUGGGUUUCAGGGAUGUUCUGACACCUGCAAACACCACUCAGAUCUCCUUUGGAAUCCCUAGAAGGCAGGAAAGCAGACACCUCAAGAAGUGCAGCGUGACCGCGCCCAGAACCCGCAGGAUGUCCUGGCCUCUCCCCUGCCUGUCUCCCAGCCAUCUUCCAGAACCUAUAGGGCACCCUGACUGCUCCUCUGCACAUCUCCCAGCUGACCGCUAGGUGGACUUUCCAUGGUCUGAACAGGAGGAUCCUGAAGAAGGGGCUGCAACAGGCACAACUCCAGGGAGCCCCCCUGAAUAUGGGGUCCAGGACCCCUCAUGAGCAGUGCCCCUGGAGGCUUGUGGAGGAUCUCCUGCAAUUCUAGGAGAUAGUACAGACACUUGGGAGGGGUGAAGUUGUGGGGCUCUGGGUCCUGGAGGGCAAGGGGCCCACCAGGCCUGCCUGUCUGGGUGUGGUCUAUAGGGUCACCCACUGGGGUCACUGGGCUCAGUCCAGCUGCCUCUGGGGGAGAAGAUGAGCCGGGACAGUGUGGGUCUUCCCUUAGUGACAGGCCUACCCAACCCAGAACCUCACAGCCAGACCUAGAAAUGAAU
rnacentral:lncRNA from 1 species